UAUUUAAUUUACCUUGUUGUGAAACUAUUUCUUGAAGAGCCGUGAGGAAAACCAGCAAACAAAGGCAGUAUCGUGCCUCCAUUUUCAAUGCUGUAAAUUUUAUCCUAGAAAGUUGUUCCUGAAUUGCUGAAUUGAGGCUAAUGACUAGAGUCUGUAGCUUCUGCUCUUGUUAGGACCAGACCAAAGACUCUUCUGACACCUGUGAACUGCGCGCAGUUGUGGAAACCACAGAAUUAGCGCAGAGCAAUUGAAUAGGGCAACUCACGAACUGUUAUUGGAGCCAGUCAGCUGACUAAUCAACGCUUCUUUGACG